rnacentral:rRNA from 1 species
ACGAACGCUGGCGGCGUGCCUAAUACAUGCAAGUCGAGCGGACUGAUUAAGAGCUUGCUCUUAUGAGGUUAGCGGCGGACGGGUGAGUAACACGUGGGCAGCCUACCUUGUAGAUUGGGAUAACUCCGGGAAACCGGGGCUAAUACCGAAUAAUCCAUUUUGCUUCAUGGCGAGAUGUUAAAAGGCGGCUUCGGCUGUCACUACGAGAUGGGCCCGCGGCGCAUUAGCUAGUUGGUAGGGUAAUGGCCUACCAAGGCGACGAUGCGUAGCCGACCUGAGAGGGUGAUCGGCCACACUGGGACUGAGACACGGCCCAGACUCCUACGGGAGGCAGCAGUAGGGAAUCUUCCACAAUGGACGAAAGUCUGAUGGAGCAACGCCGCGUGAGUGAAGAAGGUUUUCGGAUCGUAAAACUCUGUUGUAAGGGAAGAACACGUACGAGAGUAACUGCUCGUACCUUGACGGUACCUUAUUAGAAAGCCACGGCUAACUACGUG